AGUUAACAAUGCUGUUCAGUACACUAAAAAUUUGUUUAGAGGGUAGAUCUCAUUUUAUGUGUUUUACCCAAAG